rnacentral:rRNA from 1 species
CCUACGGGCGGCAGCAGUGAGGAAUAUUGGUCAGUGGACGAGAGUCUGAACCAGCCAAGUAGCGUGAAGGAUGACUGCCCUAUGGGUUGUAAACUUCUUUUAUAUGGGAAUAAAACGUUCCACGUGUGGGAUUUUGUAUGUACCAUAUGAAUAAGGAUCGGCUAACUCCGUGCCAGCAGCCGCGGUAAUACGGAGGAUCCGAGCGUUAUCCGGAUUUAUUGGGUUUAAAGGGAGCGUAGGUGGAUUGUUAAGUUAGUUGUGAAAGUUUGCGGCUCAACCGUAAAAUUGCAGUUGAAACUGGCAGUCUUGAGUACAGUAGAGGUGGGCGGAAUGCGUGGUGUAGCGGUGAAAUGCUUAGAGAUCACGAAGAACUCCGAUUGCGAAGGCAGUUCACUGGACUGCAACUGACACUGAGGCUCGAAAGUGUGGGUAUCAAACAGGAUUAGAUACCCUAGUAGUC